rnacentral:lncRNA from 1 species
AGUGGAUAUGAGAAGAAUUCUUCAUGCUUUAGAGUUGAGGCUGGUGAAGAAGGGCAGAAGGAUCUGCUGACUGGACUGACAUAUGGAUACAACUUCAAGUUUUCUGCUCUUGCUUCUGAAUUGGAAAUGAAUGAUUACAAAAUGACUAGCAGAGAGCUGUUACCAAGAUAAGUAUGAGUAUAGCAAGAAUCCCAGAAUCAUAGAAUCCAGGUAUUGAAAGUGACCCUAGCAGUCUAUACAUGAAAGGAUUACCCAGUAUAACAUACUAGGCAAGCCUGUGUUUGAUGAUCUCCAAGGACUGAGAAUAGCUGAUACAUCCCUGAUACAUUCAAGUCUCUUGGUUCAAGUGAAGAAUAUCUUUGGAUAUUGAAAGAGCAAGCAGAUGUGAUCUCUGAGGGAGUGACACAAUCAGAUACCUGUUUUAGGAAUAUCAUUUGGUACUGUGAAGAAGGUAGAUUGCAGAAAUGAGAAGCUCAAGGACUCGUGACACUUCUGCUGUAAUGGACAGAGAACUAAUCUUGAAAGCAAGAAGAUCUGGAUUCAAGAUCUGCAUCUGAAAAGGAGAGAUGAGCAAACCACUAUAACUAUGAGCAAAACACUAAACUUUCAGUGAAGGAGAGCUUAAUAAAACUGAAAAUAAGAAACUCUGGAACUAAUAA